AGCAGUGUGGAUCAGUGUAAAGAGCCUGGGUUUGGGUGUCAGAGGUCAUGGGUUCGAAUCCCAGCUCUGCUA
rnacentral:tRNA from 1 species